rnacentral:rRNA from 1 species
AUUGAACGCUGGCGGCAGGCCUAACACAUGCAAGUCGAGCGGAUGAAGGGAGCUUGCUCCUGGAUUCAGCGGCGGACGGGUGAGUAAUGCCUAGGAAUCUGCCUGGUAGUGGGGGAUAACGUCCGGAAACGGGCGCUAAUACCGCAUACGUCCUGAGGGAGAAAGUGGGGGAUCUUCGGACCUCACGCGAUCAGAUGAGCCUAGGUCGGAUUAGCUAGUUGGUGGGGUAAAGGCCUACCAAGGCGACGAUCCGUAACUGGUCUGAGAGGAUGAUCAGUCACACUGGAACUGAGACACGGUCCAGACUCCUACGGGAGGCAGCAGUGGGGAAUAUUGGACAAUGGGCGAAAGCCUGAUCCAGCCAUGCCGCGUGUGUGAAGAAGGUCUUCGGAUUGUAAAGCACUUUAAGUUGGGAUGAAGGGCAGUAAGUUAAUACCUUGCUGUUUUGACGUUACCAACAGAAUAAGCACCGGCUAACUUCGUG